rnacentral:lncRNA from 1 species
GGCAAAUCUACCCAACCUAUGGACAGACCCUCUUCAGCUGGGUUCCCACAGGUCUCAAAGAAGAAAGAAUACAGCAUACUCUAUACCAGCAGGUCACCCAAGGCCUCCUGUCCUGGAGCCCCUGACCAGGUUGUUCCUGGGAUGCUAGCAGCGUGAAGGGAGUGGGCAAAUAUGUAGGCAAGGACACCAGGCUGGUCAGCUGAGGGCUCAGGCCCAUCCUGCAAUUGGGGUACAGCGGAUGCAGGAAAACGUGAAUGUAGAAACAAGCAACACAAGGGAGAGCUGCAGAGUCGGGGCCCAGCAUUGUAAGGAACAAGGACCUUCAUGUGCACCAAGAAGACCAGGGGAAGAGGCCUUGCCCACCGGGAGAGUCCUGGGGCCUUGGCAGCAGGUUGAGAAGGGACUGGCACUGCCAGGUACAGGUUUGGCUGAGGCUGGCCUUGGUUUUGGAAGAAGAGUAUUGGGUUGGGGGUAGGGCUCGGGUGGUAAAAGAGCUACCCACAGGUGUAGCUAGGCUCAUACACAGGACUCUGCCUGGAGGGCAGGUAAGCCAGUUACACCCAGCCCAUCUAUGUCCUUGGUAUAAAAUAAUACACAUAUAAAAAUAAUACUCCAUGCAUUUGGGUUGGGCCCAUUACAGGUGCGGCGCCCCCUCUGACUCUGGUGAAGUGUGUUGGCUGGUAUAGCUGUCCUCGGCCCUCCUGAUCUUGCUCAUGAGCUUCUCCAGUUCUGACCCACUUUGUUGUUUCUAGGAAAAAGAGAUUGGGCCUCAGCCGGGAGGUUGGGGAAUAAAGAGGGUACAGGACAGGGCCCUGCUGUUUCCUGUUUUUCCAGUGACCCCAGGUGCAAGUGCCUAGGAAGGAACUCAGAAGCAGGCAGGAGCUGCUCACCUCCAGGAAGGCCUUCUGAACCGUGAGCUGGCUGUACACGCGACUGCCCUCUUCCCCGCACACUUUUUUCAGUUCCUCCUUGUUGAGGGAGAAGAGCUGGGGUCCAGUUAAGAUGCCCAGGUUCUCCACGAUCCUAGGGGCAGGUGGGUGUGAGGGCGGGGCCGUGGGCGGGACACUGUCCUCCAGGCUCCGCCCCACCGGCUGUACACACGGGACUCACCUGGCACUGAAGGCCUUGGCUUCCAGCCAGGCGCGGACCUCAUCCGGACCUGACUCGAAGGUAAGCGGCAGGUGCACUGGCUGGCUGCGCUCCACGCGGAAGUUGCGCUGCGGCUGUGUCUUGAUGUGGCUGAUCUUUUUCAUGAGCUCGUCAUUGACCUCGUCCAUGUGGUGGAUUAGCUCUGUGGGGCGCACGCUCUCAGCCCCUUCACUCGACCCGUUCUCUGCCUCUUCCCCACCCUCCGCAUCCUAUCAGCGCCCUCCCCUGCCCCUCCCUACACUUCUAACCCCAAAGUGGAUCUACUUACCUUCUUUGUUCCCUGCGAAAAUUGGGGGCAGUUUGUGGGUGGGGCUGGCUGGACCCCAGUAUUUCUGGCCAGACUGCAAGGAGUAAGGAAGAGGUGAGGGGUAAGGUGAGGGGGGGGCUAUUAUAUAAGGACUUACCCAGGACCCCAGAUGGAUGGGCCAGCCCUUUCUUCCCUUGAGUAAGACCCCAGGAACCCACACAGCCCUUGGCCCAGCUUGGGGGCAGCAGGUUUCCGGGGAUCAGGUUCAAAUAUCACAUUGAGACCAGCUGCACCCCUGACCUUAGGGGCUCUGACUGUGUUGUAGACAGAAUGGAGCCGUGGCAGGCGAUCACCUGUUCCAAGGGGGCACCCACGUCCUCCUGCCGAGCUUCAGCCAGGAUGUUGCAGGGCACAUAGCCCGCCUGGCCACUGCGAUUUCGUAGCUUCCACCACUGCCGGCCGUCCUCCAGCACCUGCCAAGUGUCCAGAUGUCUGUGAGACUCACCAACAUCCUCGUGCAGACCUCAAGUACUAUUAGAGUCAGAUGCUGGGGACACUUGCCAAACCCUUCACAGAGGGCCAAAGCAUUGUCCAGGUAUCUCAAGCACAGCUCUCCAUCCUCUGGACAUGUCUUGGCCUGAUGGGCUACCCAGUGCCUGCCUGGCCUCCCCAGUCCUGGAGACAGGGUACCUCUUAACCUGAUUCUAAAUGCAGAGCUUCCCCCAGCCUGCUCCACUUUCUGUCCCUCAGUAGGUGGCCUGGAUUCAGGUUAGGCACAAAUAAGUUGGUCCAGGGUGGUGAUCUUGGGUGGCCAUGAAUGACAAGCCCCUACUGGCUUCUACCGAAGGGCCACCCACCACGGUAGACCUCCAGGGAUCCCCCAGACAUCAGAAGGCAGCUCAGUGGCUCAGCCAGACUGUGGUGGGGGUCAGAGAGGCCACUGGAGGCCCAGUAGGAAGCCAGGUCGAGCACACUGGGAAGAUGGGUGGAUUACAGACCAUGGUCCCAGAACACGCCCCACUUCCCCUGUAUAGCCCCGGUCCUUACCUCUAGGACCUCGUCCUUGAGCACAGAUAGCUCAUUGGCGUUUCGCGCUGUGAAAUCAUAGAGGAUCUUGACGUACUUGGUCAUGGCUGGUGUUGGCUGGUAGCCCCUGCAGGACCAGGAAGAGUUGAGACCCAGGGCUGGACGGAAGUCUCUUCCUGCUUCCCAGCUGCAGCUGCCUCCUGUUCUG